CCAACGGCUCUUUUAAGAGCCACCUAAAUGUCUCUGAACAGCAGUC
rfam:Takifugu rubripes chromosome, Chr_15